GGUGAACGCUGGCGGCAGGCCUAACACAUGCAAGUCGAGCGGAUGACGGGAGCUUGCUCCUUGAUUCAGCGGCGGACGGGUGAGUAAUGCCUAGGAAUCUGCCUGGUAGUGGGGGACAACGUUUCGAAAGGAACGCUAAUACCGCAUACGUCCUACGGGAGAAAGCAGGGGACCUUCGGACCUUGCGCUAUCAGAUGAGCCUAGGUCGGAUUAGCUAGUUGGUGGGGUAAUGGCUCAGCAAGGCGACGAUCCGUAACUGGUCUGAGAGGAUGAUCAGGCAUCCUGGAGCUGAGACACGGUCCCGACUCCGACGGGAGGCAGCAGUGGGGAAUAUUGGACAAUGGGUGAAAGCCUGAUUCAGCCAUGCCGCGUGUGUGAAGAAGGUCUACGGAUUGUAAAGCACUAGAAGUUGGGAGGAAGGGCAGUAAGUUAAUACCUUGCUGUUUUGACGUUACCGACAGAAUAAGCACCGGCUAACUCUGUGCCAGCCGCCGCGGUAA
rnacentral:rRNA from 1 species